GACGAACGCUGGCGGCGUGCCUAAUACAUGCAAGUAGAACGCUGAAGAGAGGAGCUUGCUCUUCUUGGCUGAGUUGCGAACGGGUGAGUAACGCGUAGGUAACCUGCCUGGUAGCGGGGGAUAACUAUUGGAAACGAUAGCUAAUACCGCAUAAAAUGGAUUAUCGCAUGAUAAUCCAUUGAAAGGUGCAAAUGCAUCACUACCAGAUGGACCUGCGUUGUAUUAGCUAGUUGGUGGGGUAACGGCUCACCAAGGCGACGAUACAUAGCCGACCUGAGAGGGUGAUCGGCCACACUGGGACUGAGACACGGCCCAGACUCCUACGGGAGGCAGCAGUAGGGAAGCUUCGGCAAUGGACGGAAGUCUGACCGAGCAACGCCGCGGGAGUGAAGAAGGGUGUCGGAUCGUAAAGCUCUGUUGUAAGAGAAGAACGAGUGUGAGAGUGGAAAGUUCACACUGUGACGGUAUCUUACCAGAAAGGGACGGCUAACUACGUG
rnacentral:rRNA from 1 species